AACCAAAGCUGGCGACCGGCGCACGGGUGAGUAACACGUAUCCAACCUGCCUCAUACUCGGGGAUAGCCUUUCGAAAGAAAGAUUAAUAUCCGAUAGCAUAUAUUUCCCGCAUGGGUUUAUAUUAAAGAAAUUCGGUAUGAGAUGGGGAUGCGUUCCAUUAGUUUGUUGGGGGGUAACGGCCCACCAAGACUACGAUGGAUAGGGGUUCUGAGAGGAAGGUCCCCCACAUUGGAACUGAGACACGGUCCAA
rnacentral:rRNA from 1 species